rnacentral:rRNA from 1 species
CACACCGCCCGUCACGCCAUGGAAGCUGGGGGGACCUGAAGUCGGUGAGCUAACCGCAAGGAGGCAGCCGCCAAAGGUCAAUUCAGUGACUGGGGCG